UACAGAGGUCCCAAGCGUUGUUCGGAUUCACUGGGCGUAAAGGGUGCGUAGGCGGUUUGAUAAGUCUGAUGUGAAAUCCCGCAGCUUAACUGCGGAACUGCAUUGGAUACUGUUUGACUAGAGGAAUGGAGGGGAGACUGGAAUACUUGGUGUAGCAGUGAAAUGCGUAGAUAUCAAGUGGAACACCAGUGGCGAAGGCGGUUCUCUGGGAAUGUCCUGACGCUGAGGAGCGAAAGCGUGGGGAGCAAACAGG
rnacentral:rRNA from 1 species